GGGCGAACGCUGGCGGCGUGCCUAAUACAUGCAAGUCGAGCGGACCGAUGGGAGCUUGCUCCUUUAGGUUAGCGGCGGACGGGUGAGUAACACGUGGGCAACCUGCCCUGCAGACUGGGAUAACACCUGGAAACAGAUGCUAAUACCGGAUAACAACACUAGACGCAUGUCUAGAGUUUGAAAGAUGGUUCUGCUAUCACUCUUGGAUGGACCUGCGGUGCAUUAGCUAGUUGGUAAGGUAACGGCUUACCAAGGCAAUGAUGCAUAGCCGAGUUGAGAGACUGAUCAGCCACAUUGGGGCUGAGACACGGCCCAA
rnacentral:rRNA from 1 species